AUACGGGGGGGGCAAGCGUUAUUCGGAAUUACUGGGCGUAAAGGGCGCGUAGGCGGCAAAGUAGGUCAAAGGUGAAAUCCCUCGGCUCAACCGAGGAACUGCCUCUGAAACUGUCGGGCUUGAGGCCGGGAGAGGGUAGUGGAAUUCCCAGUGUAGCGGUGAAAUGCGUAGAUAUUGGGAGGAACACCAGUGGCGAAGGCGGCUACCUGGACCGGUUCUGACGCUGAGGCGCGAAAGUGUGGGGAGCAAACAGGAUUAGAAACCCCAGUAGUCC
rnacentral:rRNA from 1 species